rnacentral:rRNA from 1 species
UACGUAGGGUCCAAGCGUUAAUCGGAAUUACUGGGCGUAAAGCGUGAGUAGGCGGUUUCGCAAGUCCGAUGUGAAAUCCCCGGGCUUAACCUGGGAACUGCGUUGGAAACUACGAGACUAGAGUGCGGCAGAGGGGGGUGGAAUUCCAGGUGUAGCAGUGAAAUGCGUAGAUAUCUGGAGGAAUACCGGUGGCGAAGGCGGCAUCCUGGACCGGCAUUGACGCUGAGGAGCGAAAGCUAGGGGAGCAAACGGGG